CCCUUUGGUCUGUCUGCUCUGUCACCCAGGCUGCGGCACGGGCCCGGGGUGGGCUCAGGAGACAGGCAGCGCGGGGCGGCCGGGGGCGCAGAACCGGAGUCCAACAGGACGCCCAGCUUCAGAUUACCAGCGAGUCCGUCCUGACUGUCGCCACCCAAACCGGAUUCUGACAAACGGCAUCGACUCCAGCUGCCCUGAGCCGCACACCUAGUUCCACUUGCACACACACGGCAGUCGGGACGGAUCCACUGACCACGCACACAGUGUGUAAGUUAAUUUCUUCAUCUGUACUAUGAAAACAUAAGAGGCCCUGUCCCGGGCUCACUGUGGAAAUGAACUGAGCUAUGGAGCCUAAACAGCUGAGGACCAGAGCCUGGCCCCCAGAGCACCACGUGAGCACGGCAGGGCCCAGGGAGUGCUUGGUCCAGUACGAGUCUUCUCUCCCCAACUGGAAGGUAACCGAAAGGUAAGCCGGCCUCCUUGCCUUUAGCUUCCCCUCGUCUUGAACACACGCCCAGCCAUGACUGCAUUUCUCACCAUGCACUCUUUGCUGCCCUGUGUCACCAGUCCACUCUCUCAUCGCAGCCUGCUGGGCGCCCACACCACUCCAGACUCUGGGCUAGGCACCCAAGAUGCAAGGGUGACCAAGACGGAGGUCCCUAUGCCCCAGGGGCUCUCAGCCACGUGUGCGAGAUAAACACACACACACACACACACACACACACACACACACACAGACGGAUCACUUCAGUGCAGCAGAGAAGGCAAGCUAAGCACCAGGGCCCAGGGCCACGAGCCUGUGGGUGAACCUCAUCCAGGGGAGGCAGGGGACAGGAAGGUUCCAAAGGGGAUAUCAGGAACACUAGGGCAUUCCAAGCAGAGGACCUAACUGUCAUGUCGGUGAAAAAAACGACGUGGGAUGCAGGAAACAAAGCAUCCGAACUGGCUGGGUACCUGAAGCAGGCCGUGGAAGAUGUGACUGGAGGGACAGGCAGCAGCCACACCCCGACCUUCACCCUGCAGGCUGCAGGGAGCUGGAGAAGGGGCUUAAGGACACCUGCCUGCCUGUGACCCAGCAGACAGCAGCGCCUGUGGCCAGGCACCCAUCUCACCCGCACAGGGAAGUCAUCUGGACACAGGGCAGCCAGGCCAACGGAGGACAGAUGUGGAGGUGGCCCGGCCAAAGCGCCACUCUUCCAGGAAGCCUUCUCGGAUCUGCCCAUCUCCCACAGCCGCCUGCAAUGGCGACUUGGCUCCUGAUCCCGUGCUGUCCUGGGCAGGCAUUUGCUGCACCAGAUUUCUACCGAGGACCCAGAACAGGAGAAGCGGAACCUCACCAGAGUACCCUCUUAAACAGGCUGGACACUGCAAGACUGACGAGCGUCACCUGUGUCUUUCACCCAAACUCGGCGCCCCUGCUAGGGUAGAGUGGAGAACCCCCAUCCCUGCC